AAAGCGGCGAGUGAAGCGGCAAAAGCUCAAAUUUGAAAUCUGGCGCCUUCGGUGUCCGAGUUGUAAUUUGAAGAUUGUAACCUUGGGGUUGGCUCUUGUCUAUGUUUCUUGGAACAGGACGUCACAGAGGGUGAGAAUCCCGUGCGAUGAGAUGCCCAAUUCUAUGUAAGGUGCUUUCGAAGAGUCGAGUUGUUUGGGAAUGCAGCUCUAAGUGGGUGGUAAAUUCCAUCUAAAGCUAAAUAUUGGCGAGAGACCGAUAGCGAACAAGUACAGUGAUGGAAAGAUGAAAAGAACUUUGAAAAGAGAGUGAAAAAGUACGUGAAAUUGUUGAAAGGGAAGGGUUUGAGAUCAGACUCCAUAUUUUGUGAGCCUUGCCUUCGUGGCGGGGUGACCCGCAGCUUAUCGGGCCAGCAUCGGUUUGGGCGGUAGGAUAAUGGCGUAGGAAUGUGACUUUACUUCGGUGAAGUGUUAUAGCCUGCGUUGAUGCUGCCUGCCUAGACCGAGGACUGCGAUUUUAUCAAGGAUGCUGGCAUAAUGAUCCCAAACCGC
rnacentral:rRNA from 1 species